AGACGUUCAUAAAAAUUUUAAUGGUUUGUAGUGUGAAGAACAUUUUAAAAAUCUGAAGAAACUUUUGUGAAAUGGAAAGGUUUAAUAGAUGUUAAAGGUCCUUCGGUGAACCAUAAAUGCCAAGAAAGAGUGUAGCAUGAACAAUGACUCUCAUUUUAUGAUAUUUUUUCUCAUUUUUGGACUCUCUGGUGUCCAUCCACUUUUAUGGUAUGGAAAAUAGCAGUGUGGAGAUUCUGCUUAACAUCUCCUUUUUUGUUCUUCAGUGCAAAGGAGAUCAUACAAGAUGAACAAACAAAGGCAAAAAUUUUAUUUUUGGGUGAACUGUCCUUUAAACGUCUGAUUGCCUAAGUUGUUGUGCUUCUAUACAGGGAGAGGACUAACUUAUUGCAUUAGGCAAAUGUGACUGUGACAUCACAAGAGAGUAUUAAAAGCCCAUUUGCCAGCAGAACUCAGCCAGAACAUCCAUCCAUCCAACAAAGAGUGGUCUUGUCCUGGAGUUACGGUGCAGUCACAGGAGUAUCGAAUGGGACAAAACCAGGGCAAGGAGGGGGAGCUAGGGCAGGACAACAGCUCUGCAGGACUAGAGGAAAAGGGACCAAGCCCAGACCCUGGGGGGGCAAAAGAGGAAGGAAAUCUAACCAUUGAAACUCAUGGUGUCGGGAAAGAUGAGGAGAACACAGCCGGUGGAGGGUUGGACGGAGGCCCAGGCAGGGAGUCACCAUCACCUACACCAGUGCACGGUUUGGAUUCUCAUGAUAAGGUGUGCGCUCCCACGGAUGGGGGGGUUGCCGAGGGAGGUGAUGGCGUGAAGGAGGGAGGAAGAAAGAGUAGUGAGGAAGGCAGGGCUGGACCGCUGGCUCCACAGCAGCUGAAUGGAAUCGCACAGUCUGCCAGUGAAUCAGACCACGAGAGAAAAGACUUGGAGAGUACACAAGAACACCGUCAGGGGAACUUUAGGUGUGACCUUCCUGCUAAGGACAAAGUUGAAAGCGUUUGCAAAGGAGAAAACAAGAGUAAGAAGUGCGCUUCACAUGUAAAGAACGAAAUGGAGUCUGUCUGUGGAGAUGACGACAAGCUAAAGAGUCAGGAAGAGGUCAGAAAACUCGAUUUUAAAGCUGCUUGUGAUAUUAGUCUAAAAAAUACAGGGCCUACCUUGGAGAUUCUGGAAAGGAAGGACAUUUCAAAACCAUCUGGUGGGGAUGCCAACACCAACGUUCACUUCACGGUUCAAGACCAAGCUUUAGUCAUUACCGAAAAUGUCUCGUUGAAGACCAGCAUGACUGAAUCGCAAAACAAGGGGCUGAUUAACAAGCGAAACAAUGAAACAUCAAAGGACACUUCUGAGGCAAUUCAGCAAAGUAAAGAAGAAAUACAGAAGAAGCUGCCAGAGAAUCCACAUAAGGUUGUAACAGAAACCCCAAACGCUGAACAUUCCUCCUCGAAGAACGUCGAAACCCAAGGGUGGUCAAUGAAGGAUGUCCACUCAGCCAGAGAACCAGAAACCCCACAUGCUGAACGAUCCUCCCUGAUGAACAUUGAAACCCAGGGGAAGUCCAUGAAAUAUGUCUGCAGAGCCAGAGAAAAUGUUACGGGGUGUCAGCCAACAGAUGAUGUCAUAAAGACCAGAUUUACUAGUUCAUCUCUGGCAGGUGUGGAUUUACAAAGCAAAGCUGUGAGUCUGGAAAGAGCUCAGAGCCCGGAGGACCUCAGCACCUUAGAAGUGGCAUCCAAGUCACCUUGGGGUCACUCUGAGACCCAUCGACAAAUAUCUGCGGGUGAAUUCACACAGGACGAGCUUCAGAGUGUGUCAGACUUGGAGGGCCCUUGUACAAAGGAACCUUCACCUGGGAGAUCAUCCACUGGAGGUCAUAAAAAUAAAGAUGGCAUAAGAGGGACUGAAGAAAGAGAAAAUCUGGAAUCUGCUUCAAAGGUUCUGUAUCAUUCCCAUGAAAAAAAACCUGAGAUAAAAGAUCUUUCUCUGCAUGGAACAGAAACGGAAGAGGGUUGUUUUGUGUCAUCUAAUAUUGCCAGUGUAGGUAUGCUGGGUGAAAACAAACCCUGGCUACAAAGCUAUGAAGAAUGUAUUACAUUCUCUGAAGACAUUACAGAUUCGAACCCCCAUUGUAAAUCUGAUGUUCAAGUUAUGCAAAAAAAUGAAAAAGAGGAUCUCCCUCUUUUAGCAAAGGCCAAAGAACACACAGAGAAAAGUCUGGAAUGGUUUCUGGCUGAAACGAGUCCACAGGAAGUGAUACAAACCCUUCCAGAGACGGUGAAGGAUACUACACAUGAGAUGGAUCCCGAACGUUCUUCUCCAAUAAGUGCCGUGAUUGAUGUAGAAGAUGCUACAAAACAACAGAGGUUAGAUAGUAACGCUAAAGCUAACUCAGAGAGAGACCGGGUCGUUUCAGGUCACAUAGAUGAUAGGCCAAGUGUGGACAAGAAAACAGAAGUCACUCUGUCUGGUUCUUCUCAACUUCAAGAAAAAUGUUUUUUGAAGAUUUUUACAAAUACGUCAACCCAUUCCACUAUAAGCCAGACAGACGUAUCCAAUCAGGUCUGGGCCGGUUGUGCUGCUGGAGCUGCAUUAGCAGACAACGCUGCAAACACAUCUGCUGCACAAGAUGUGCAACAUUCCUCCUCCAUGUGCAACCUAAUAAGUAUGCAAGCUAACGAGAAACAAGAUAAAGAGCAGAACAAGCUGUCGACACAAGCAAAUUGUCAUGUUUUAGAGGAGAAACGUUCAAGCCAGCUUGACCAAAAGCACGCAAUAGAAAGCAACCCGACCACCAUCAUGGAAACACCACAGGGUGCACAGAAAAGACAUGUUUCUGAUAUAAUAAAGGAAACUAUUGAGAUGCAGAAGAAGAUGAAGGAGUGGACCAAGCCAACUGAGG
ensembl:lncRNA